AAAAGAAGCAGAAGUUAUAAGUAGCAAGAAACAUCCUCUUUGAGAUUAAUUAUGAAAUUAAUAUUAAUUAAAAUAAAAUAAAAAGAGCGUUUGUUCUUAUUGAAUUUAUAUUGAAAUUAAUUAUUUAAAAAAUAAAAGUUGAAAAGUAUCAAAAUAGAGCUUUCAAAAAUUAUUUUUUCUGGCCUACAAACAGAAGUUGUGACAGACACUCUAGUACAACUUUUUAAAAAAAAAAUACAUAAGCGCACCAAAAAACAAGAGAGCGAUUAUUUUUUACCAUUAGAUGAAGGCUGAGGACUAUCUAUAGCAAGUGAAUUACUACGUACCUAAUAGCACCCUACAAAUUUUAUUAGCUCUCACAGAGGGCAUAAUAGGUAUUAUUUAGGGGCUUCACUCUAAUGUUCAUGAGAAUAAUUUUCUUACAAAUUUGAUUCAUAUCAUAAAAAUUUAAAGUUAAUUUUUUUUGUUGAUAAUAUUAGACAAAAAUAUCCUUAUACUCUCUAUACCCUUUCUUAUUUUUUACUACACUUUCAUCAUCUCUACUCUUUUUAACAACCACUAUUGGCGGGCGACAACUUUUUGGUGAACCUCGGUGAACAUUUCUAUAGAUAAAUUUAUUUGUGAAAAGUUUGUCGAAAAGUCAAACAGUAAAAAUUCACUAUUACUUUUCAGAUAUAAAUUUAUUUUUGAAAAGUUGAACAAUAAAUUGUCAUUGUUCAUUUUAUACUCGCUGAGUACUAAAACAAUAAAAUUUAUCUUUGGAAAGUUAGUUGAAAAGCUAGCAAGAAAAGUCAUCGGUGACCGGAGUGGUGGCCGGUGGCGGUGAUGAGUUGUGAUAUUUUUAUUAAUAAUUAAUAAAUAAAUAUAUUUAUAAUUAAAAUAAGUGUAAUGUUGUCUAUACAUAAAAAAUUACAGACUUUUAAUUAUUAAAUAUUAUCAAUCAUAAACUAUCAACUAAGAUAGAUUCAACCCAACUAAACACACUACUCCUACCAAUGAGUGUAUUAUUCACUAAGUCUCCUCCUUUUGUUAUACAUAAAAAAGAAAUAAUGAAAACAGUUGCCUAACAGUUGUGUGGUACUUGAGAUUAUUUGGAAUCUUGGAUGAAACCAAACACCUGUCCCGGUUUCAUAAUUUUAAUUUUUGCGAGGUGAAUAUAUAUGUGAAAUACAAAAUUUAUAAUAUACACAUGAAAUACAAUAUUAAUUUUCACGUUAGGAGAAAAAUUUAUAUAAAUUUGUAAUGUUAAUAACUAAUAUUACUAUAAAUAUGAGCUUUUUUUAAAAAAAAUUGACGGUUGCAUGCAAUAUUAACUCCAUUUUCCCAAGCUUAUGUUCUAUUUCUCCAUUUUUUUUGAGUACCCAAAUGCCUUCCCACGGGAAUUGAUGUUUCUAACACAAAUUAUCGAACACCCGAAGGACAAUUGUUUCUGUUCCUGAUUCAACUUCUCAAACGAAAAACAAACAAAAACAAAACCCUGACAACUCGCAAGUUUUUCAACAACACGGAUCACCAAUCCUAACCGCGAAGAGCCCUAAGAACCCUGCCGUGAGGAGAAUCUGGAUUGCCCCUCACCGCCGACUGCUUCCAUAUCAAUAAUCAGCCUCCUCAGCGCCACUUCCGCAGUGUCAAGUUGCUCCUCCCUAAACAAAAUCACCUCAUCACCAAAAUACUCAUAUGUCAAAUCCGCCGUCCCAUCGCUAGCCCUAGUAAUUGGCUUCCUCGUAUCCACCACCUCAAUUCCCGACAAUGGUGACGCCUUGUGAUGGGUGUAAUACUCCUUGUAAACCUCUCGUUUCUAUUCUUAUAGGGCCACGCGUUGCCCAUUCUUAAGGCUGCGCAGCUCACGUCCUCGGGGGUGCCCUGUCUGGGGUGGUGAUGGUGUGGCCAGGGCGGCGCUACAUAUAUGCUGAUGGAGUCAGCCGAAUCCAUCUGUCUUUAAAACAUAUUCAAAACAAAAAAAUUUAGUGUUAUAUAUAUAUUUUAAAAGAAAUAUAUUUGAUCCCAUUAAUAAAAAAUUGUGUUUAAAUUUUUGCAUGACACCAUUAACAAAAAUUUUUGUGCUUUUGUUGGAUGAUGGGGUCUAUGGGUGGGCUCACCGUGAUGCUCUCGAAUUUCGGAGAUGGUGAGUAGGGUGGUUUUGGGGGGACGAAUGGCUCCACCUCUUGGUUGGGUUUGUGCGCUACUUGCUUCUCCCCUAUCGUGGCCUUUGCCGGCACCUCAACAUCGCUCUCCUGCCAGACAAUCAUCAUCAAUUCUACACAUUCAUUCGCGUACAAGACCACAAAGAUAAAAUAAAAAAAAAGGUCUAAUUUACCUAGUAAAAUUGAUUUAUUUUUGUUUUCAGAAACUUUUUUCACUUAAAAUAAUAUAUUUUGUCUUUAAUUAUUCUUUUUGAAAAAAUUAGGUAAAAAAUAUCAGGAAUUGAUUAUGGAAAGCAAAACUAAAUCCUAUACUUUCAAUUGUAACAAAUCAAAUUCUGUUAUUUUAAUUCAGUAAUUAUUUAAGCCAUAUGUUAAUUUAUAUUUAUCUAGUGCUAACAGAAUCAAUUCGUUCAUACUCAAAAUGCAGGAAAACGAUUUCAAUGCUAUCAUUUUUAAACCCUUAUCGAACCAAUUAAUAAGACAAAUUAAAAAGAUUGGAUUUUAUAUUUAUUUAAAGGGAUCAAAUUUUUAUUCUAUUUUAGAAUGAUAAUGGUUCAUUUAGGGCUUUAAAAAAGAAAAAAUCUUAUACAAAUUUUUUAGUAUAUUUUGGGCAAAACCUAAUUAUUUUAUUAACCAAAGUGCAUUGAGAAUAAUAAAUAAUUUAAAUUACUACAGAAUUAAAAUUACAUAAUUCAAUUUGUUACAAUUGAAAGUUUAGAGUUUAAUUCGUUUUUAUGAUCAAAUUCUUUUUUUUUUCUUUUUUUUUCAAUUAAGAAAAUUUUUACAUCUCCAUACUUUGCUGGUUAUUAAAAACUAAAAAAUAUAAAAUUUUAAUUGAAUAAUAAAAAAAUUAAAAAUUAAACUAACUAAAAAAUCUAAAAAAAAAACUAUGCCAAGCUGAGACUUUUCAUCGAUUCUAUUCCCUACUUACACUAGGAGCUUCGGAGUGAACAGCAGGGUCGCCACGCGGCUAGUUGGUAGUGGCGCCAAUGAGUCCACGCCUGAGAGAUUGGUGACGCCACCCGCCGGAAAGUGCUCGAACAGCCACGUUUGUGGUGGCUGCUACUUUCCAUUCCCUUUUUCGUCAAUUUUUUUUUAAUCUUUAGAACGCCACACUUGAGCAACGGCCACCAAGACGGAUGAGAUGUAUGCAGGCCCGGUCUUUGAGAUUUUCGGGACCCUAAACACAAAAUUGAUUUGGGGCCCUUCAUUUUUAAAGAAACGCUACAAUUUUUAAAGAUAUAAAUCGUCCCAAAUAAAAAAAAGUUAACAAUAAAUUCAUACAAAAUCAAACAAAACAUACAAAAAAAAGAAAAUUCAACAAGAAAUCUAUUUGUACCCCUCUUUCUCUACACAGCAAAAACACUUCAACUUUCCCAAUUCACCUUCAAAAUCCUCUCGCAUAACUGCCUCAAAGUCCACGUAAAAAUUUUUCCGCAACAAUGAUCGGUCGAAUGUAACCAAAAGUCCGCAAACCAAGAUCAGAUUGACAGAUUGACAAAUUUUUCGUUUUGAAAGAAAAGAAUGCAAUCCGAAUUAGCUCAUUUCCAUUCAAUUUCACAGUUAAUGCAGCUUGCAAAAGCCCUCUCUAAUUCAUUGUUUAGUAGGUGGGGCAUGUAGGCCCUAAAUAAUUUAGUAUUAUUGGGACUUUGGGGCCCAUUUAUGUUCUGAUAUUUCUUUUGUGUGUGGGUGGGGGGGGGGGGGGGAAGCCAUGCUUGGUUAUAGUUAUUAGAAUCGGAGGUGAAACCGAUCAGUUCAACUAAAUAAAAAUUGUGCACUGAAUCGGUUCGGUAUACAAACUAUUUUUCGAAAAAAUGCACGUGAACGGAUUGAACGAUUGAAACCGGCCAACUUUUUUAUCGAACCAGAGAUUUUUUGUUUUGACUUGUUGAACCGGCUGUUUUUUUAACAGAUUAAAUUAAAAUUUACAUUUUGCAGUUGGACCCUAAAAUUGUGAAUUAAAAUUUUUAAUUUAAAUUUUUUAAUAUUUUGUUAUUAGGAUUAAUUUUUUACUAGUAUUAUUAUUCCCACGAUAGUAGGUUAGAUAUAUAAUUAAACUCAUUAGUCAAUUUUUUUUAAGAGAUUGAAAAUAAAAUUAUAUUAAUGAGUUGCAAUUAUAAUAUUUCAUGUAAUAUUUUAAUUUUAAAUAUGUUUCUAAAUCACCUUAAAUACCUACAUAUUAGUUGAAUGGGUAAAAAAAAAAUUUAUUUAUAUUAUUAAUUAUUAAGACCAAUUAACGGUUGAAAAUGUGUUGAACAGUAAACCGUUGAAUCGUAUUUUGACCGGUACAUAUCCGUUCCGGUUCUGUAAUAUGCAUUGGUUAAAACUUGCACCAGCGGUGUUAUAGUGAUUAUUGUAUUGUUAGUGAAUCCUGAGCACCUGUUGGAAGCAGACACGUGUUAAAAUUGUUGACGUGGCAGCUUUUUCCUGUACUUUCCGGAUAUAUCGUGUCCACUUCGCUUUUUGAUCUUGAUAGUGUGUUUUUCAUUGCUCCAUAUAUCAAUUUAAAAUUUUCAAAUACAAUUACACAAAGCUAACUAACUUAAAAAUAUAGACCCCAUUUGGACCAAAACUUUUUUAGAAAUUUUUAGCUGCUUUUAUUUUUAUUUUUUUUGUCUUUAGUCGAUUUUUUUCACCGUUAAAUUAAAAUUUUAUAAUUUUUCGGUUCAUCUUGACGGAGGAGACCAAAACUAUAAUUUUUUUUAUUAAAUUUGGAUUUUUUUACUAAAGAUGAAAAAACUAUCUAAAGUGUUUUUUUGUCAAAUUAGAUAAUUUUUUUUUCAUUUUAUGACUCCUUUCGUCAAAAGGAAUUGAAAAAUAUUAAAUUUUGAUUAAAGGGUGAAAUAAUUUCACCUA
rnacentral:lncRNA from 1 species